AUUGGCGUAGCUUUGUGGGCCUUCCUAUGUUUUAUCACAAACUACUGUUUAAAGAAUGUCUACUGCGUGUAACGCAUUUAAAUACAACUUUCAGCAACGGAUCUCUUGGCUCUCGCAUCGAUGAAGAACGCAGCGAAAUGCGAUAAGUAAUGUGAAUUGCAGAAUUCAGUGAAUCAUCGAAUCUUCGAACGCACCUUGCGCUCCUUGGUAUUCCGAGGAGCAUGCCUGUUUGAGUGUCAUGGAAUUCUCAACUCCAUUCGCUUUUGUGAAUGGAGCUUGGACUUGGAGGUUAUUGCCGGACUUUAUUGUUUCGGCUCCUCUUGAAUGCAUUAGCUCGAGCCUUUGUGGAUCAGCUUCGGUGUGAUAAUUGUCUACGCCGUUCUGUGAAGCAUACAUAAUGGGUUUCGGCUUCCAAUCGUCCUUUGCGGGACAAUACACUAUGACCUUUGACCUCAAAUCAGGUAGGGUUACCCGCUGAACUUAAGCAUAUCAAUAAGCGGAGGA
rnacentral:rRNA from 1 species